GUAUUUGCUAAUUCAGUGUUCUCGGUGACUUUACAGAACAUGACAACAAGGAAUAAUGAGGAUCAGUUUUAUUUCUGGCACCACUGGGUGGGAUUCAGUACAUACUUCUCCAUAGAAACAUAAUUAUAUUUAUUGCCACUUUUUAAAGGUAUUUGUUCAAAUAGAAGUAUUUGUUAGCCUAUGUAAUUUCCAUAUUAAUGUCUGUACAACUGUCUCAAACGUUUGCUUAAAUCGCCAUUUCUAUUAAUUAUGCAUGAAUUAUGACUUUUCAUAAUUCUUGCACUUAGGAACUAGACAUAGACAGCACUUCAGCACUCUGUGGGCCAUUUUAAGCAGUGGAAUUACCAACAAAAAGCACAAAACUGCAAGAAACAUGGCAGUGGGAAAAAAAAAACCCGGAAAGGACCUUACAGUUGUUUACAGUGUGAAAGCUGAAACAAGAAGGCAAAGCAAGGCCAGGCAUGGUUGUGCAUGCCUAUAAUCCCAGUGAGCACAGUGCAUGGACUGGGAUGGAAAUGCAAAGUACAAGAGUGUCUGGCACACAGUAGGAGCUUCAUAAGAACGUCUUAACAUUGGAUAAGUCUAACUCUUAAAGCUUCCAAAGGAAAUUCAUAUUAAAAUGGCAGAUUGAUCACAUAUCUAAUUUUGUUCCCUCCCCAAACCCAACUAACACAACACUAAAGGUAUUCAAAACAAAACCAAGCCCUAAACCCUCAGGAUCCCACAAGGAUAGAUAGGGAAGACAGGAAAGAGGACAACAGCAACAUAAUUUUGGGAUACAGAAAAAUCAAUGGUAACUGACUUAAAUGAACUAAGAAAGCCAAAUCCCUAGCCAGCAGUGAGAAAAGCUGAACAAACUUCAUUUAUGCUACAUGCUCAGAUGUUAAGGUGAAGUGGGGUGGCCCAAAGAAGGAGAAACAGGGUGAAAGUAUCUUUGAGAAGUUAAGAUUCCCAGAUAGUCCUCCUCACUGUAUGCCUCUCAGUAACUGUCCCUCUCUUUGGACUGAGAGACACCAAGCCAGUCAAAAGCACAUCUGAAGCUAUGGGCACCCUGUAACAAAUAGGUCAAUGAAGUGGGAGUGCCGCUGAGUCUUCCCUCACUAGGAUCCACCGAGAAAUUUCAGUGUGCAGACAUACUCUUUAGGCAGGAGUUUGGAAGAUUUUCCCGAGAAUCUCAUUAGCUACAAAGCAAAAAGUUGCAGAUACACUAAUAUGCAGGUUACUCCACAAAUGGCACACCUGAUUACUCUCCCAUGAUGCCUCAGCAGACAAGCCUCGCCACGCUUUCAGAGGUUCCAGUCAACUCUGUAUUAUCUUAAUCUUGAUCAUGAGCAAAUAAUCAAGUAUUAUCAGAAAUCUGAAGAAAGCCUUUAACAUGGAAGAUAGACAGCUAAACAAGCAUGCAAAAAGCAAUCUGGAACAAGUAAAAACUAUAUAGGGAGAAGGAAACUUGACCAAAAAACAAAAGAUGAAAACAUACAAUUAAGCCCAAAAUUGCAAGUGUGGAAUAACAGGAUGCACAAAAAGAAAAAAAAAAAAGACAUUCAAAGAACAUAAAAAGAGAUGUUAGAAAAUAAACAUAUGAUGACAGAGACAAAAAUAUUCUAUUGAAAGGUGGGAAAAUAAAAGUUAAAAUCUCACAGACAACAGAGCAAAAGGACCAAGAGGGAAAGAGCAAAGUUUAAAAAAAUCAGAGACCCAGUUCCAUAGGCCUAACAUCCAAUUAACAGGAGUUACAGAAAGACAGAACAGAGAAUGGUGAAGGAAAGGAAGUUAUCAAUAAAAUAAUUUGAGAUAACUUCCUAGAACUGAAAAACAUCAGUUGCCAGAAUGGAGUGUCCACCCAAUGCCAGCAUAAUACAUGAAAGUCAACCCACACCCGAGGCACACCACUGGGAAACCUCAGAAACCUGAUGACAAAGAGAAGAUUCCAUAUGCUGCUUUUAGCAGAGAGAGAAACACAGAAAACAAAACAGGAUCAGGAAUCACAUGGCUCUGGACAUCACAAAAGGAACACUGGAAACAAGAAGCCAACAGAACAAUUCCUGCGAAAUCCUCUAGAGAAAGAGCUCCAGCAUAGAAGGCUAUACUUAGCCAAGGAAGGAAUCAUGUGUGAGUAGAACAAAGUUAUCUUUGGGGGUGUAAGGCCACAAAAAUCUAUCCUCCAUGCUCCCCUUUUUGAAGAGCUACUACAGAAUAUACUUCACACCAAAGUAAAGUGUAAUUCCAUAAAAAGGUAAGCACGGGGGCUGGGCGCAGUGGCUCAUGCCUGUAAUCCCAGCACUUUGGGAGGCUGAGGCGGGUGGAUCACAAGGUCAAGAGAUCAAGACCAUCCUGGCCAACAGGGUGAAAUCCCGUCUCUACUAAAAAUACAAAAAUUAGCCAGGCACGGUGGUGGGCACCUGUAGUCCGAGCUACUUGGGAGGCCGAGGCAGGAGAAUCACAUAAACCCAGGCAGCGGAGGUUGCAGUGAGCCGAGAUUAUGCCACUGCACAACAGCCUGGAGACAGAGCGAGACUCCAUCUCAAAAAAAAAAAAAAAAAAAAAAAGGUAAGCACAGAAUACAGGCCAUGAGUUAUAUGGCCAUGCUGAUCCUAUGAAACCCAACAGAGAAGAGGGAUAUCAAGGAAACCCCUGGAAGGACGGCAAAGGGCCCAGGACAACAACUGUGAGUUGGCCAUUAAGAGCAUCCAGGCCUUAUUCAAGCAAUGUGGCUUCAGGGACAAGUCAUGUUCACAGAAUCAUCACCAAGAUCCCUGCCACCACUGCCUACUUUAACCUGAGGACAGAAUACCUGGAUGAGAAUUCUCAUUUAAGAUUUCACCUUAAUCCGUGUUGAAGUUUACUGUACAGAAAAGCCCUCAAUUGACAAACACUGUACUUUAAAUUUGGAAAGUUUUUCUACAAAGGUGCACCAUCAUUUUUAACUAAUGUUCCAAAGACAAAAGACAGUUUGAGUUCUGAUAAGGAGGAAAAAAAACCCCAUAUACCUGGCUUUUGCCACCUUCACUCCUUCUUCAUAAAAAAGAAAGUUGUUUAAUUCCUUUUAUGGAAUUGAUUCUGCAUGGACAAUAUUAAAAGACCAAAACAACGUACUCCACUAUGAAAAUGGCUGAGUAUGAAAGAUUAUACAGGCCAGGCAGAUUACUUGAAGAAAGAAUGCCAAUAUUCAGCUAUUUGAGAACCCAAAUUUGCAGUGUUAAACAACCAUGUAUGUAAAUAAACUUUCCUGCUAUAUUACCAUUUCCCUAAAAACUGCAUUUUUAUAAGCAGGUCUAUACUGGAAGAACAAUCCUGUAAUAGCUCAGUACUCCUAAGAAUGUUAACCAACAUCUCAAAUAACUUAAAUUGAUGUGAUCAACUUAAUGUCUUAUCAAUUUUUUCCUUACAAAUAGUGAUGUUUACCAUACAGCAAACAAGGUCAAACAACUGACUUCUAAAGUUCAGAAAGUGAUAACCUACUGGCUAGAUAUUAAAGCAGUCAAAAUAUGAGAAAGAGUUGUAUAAACUCACUUCAUUAAGUUCUGGUUUCCAAGAGCUAUUUAUUUUUGAGUUCUCAUGUAAGCUACACUGCAGAGGGACACUGUUGGGCCGGUGCACAUUUAUUAUUUAUUUAUUUCAUUUAUUUAUUUAUUUUUUUGAGAUGGAGUCUCACUCUGUUGCCCAGGCUGGAGUGCAGUGGCAAGAUCUCAGCUCACUGCAACCUCCACCUCCCGGGUUCAAGCGAUUCUCCUGCCUUAGCCUCCCGAGUAGCUGGGAUUACAGGUCUGUGCCACCACACCUGGCUAAUUUUUGAAUUUUUAGUAGAGAUGGGGUUUCACCAUGCUGGUCAGGCUGGUCACGAACUCCUGACCUCGUGAUCCGCCUGUCUUGGCUUCCCAAUGUGCUGGGAUUACAGGUGUAAGCCACUGCACGCAGCCCACAUUUAUUAUUUUAAGUUUAUGUUUUUAGGAUCAAUUUGAUACAACAUUCAAACCGGAUUAUUGGGUGUAUUUUGUACAGAAUCCUAUUAAAACCUCCAUUUAAACACUGCGUUAUAUAUAGUAGAGCAAAGGAAGCGAUCAAAAACACACAAUCACCAAUUCUCUGAGGCCACCUAUCACUAAGCUCCAUCAUUAUGUUUUACAAUGACUAGAUAAAAAGGAUUUCAGAUUCAAACAAUUGUACUUAGGUUUAUUAUCAGGCUAGCCAAAUACAUAAACUGGCCCAGAGAAUUAUCUUCCCCAGUCCCCCUCUUCUUUCUAUAUGUUACUAGUUCUUAAAAUUUCCAGGAUAGAAAUUUCAUUUACAAACAGAAUCUAAUUUGCUUAAGAAAAUGAAAAGACUAGUUACCAAAUGGGAGAAAACCUCUGCAAAAAUCUGAUACAGGACUGAUAUCCAAAAUAUACAAAGAACUCUUAAAACUCAACAAUAAGAAAACAAACCAAUUAAAAAAGUCAAAAAGAUCUGACCAGACACCUCACCAAAGAUACACAGAUGGCAAAUAAGCAUAUGAAAAGAUGGUUAACAUCAUGUAUCAUCAAGAAACUGCAAAUUAAAGUAACAGUGAGAUACUACUACACACCUAUUAGAAUGGCUAAAACCCAAAACAUUUAUAACACCAGAUGAUGGCAAAGAUGUGGAACAACAGGAACUGUUGGUGAGAAUGCAAAAUGGUACAGCCACUUUACAAGACAGUUUGGCAGUUUCUCACAAAACUAAACAUACUCUUACCAUAUGAUCCAGCAAUUGCGCUCCUUGGUAUUUACCCAAAUGACUUGAAAACUUAUGUCUACACAAAACCUGUACACAAAUGUUUAUAGCAGUUUUAUUCAUAAUUACCAAAACUUGGCUACAAAAAGACAUAGAGGAACUUAAAUGCAUACUGCUAAGUUUAAGAUGCCAAUCUGAAAGGCUACAUUAUUGGGUGAUUCCAACUACUAUAUGACAUCCUGGAAAAGGCAAAACAAUAGAGACAGCAGAAAGAGCAGUGGUUGCCAGGAGUUUGCAGGGGGGGAGAAAUGAUGGUGACAGAGGCAGGGAGGGAAGGAUGAAGAGGCAGAGGCAGAGCACAGGGGAUGUCUAAGGCAGUGAAACUGUUCUUUAUGAUACUGUAAUUGUAGAUACAUGUCACUGUAAAUUGUCAAAACCCACAGAGCACAACACUAAGAGUGACCUUCAGUUGUUAAUAAUGUAUCAAUACUGGCCCAUCAAUUGUUAAUAUACCAUACCAAUGCAAGACGUUAAUGGGCGGGGGCAGGGGUGGGGAGAGAGGGGGAGGGGCGGAUAACAGGGUAUGUGAGAACUCUGUACUUUCUGCUCAGUUUUUCUAUAAACCUAAAACUGCUCUAAAAAAUAAAGUCUAGUAAAAACAUCUAAUUUGCCAGUUUAAGAAGUCCUAUUCUUCCUUCCGCAGUUUGAUCUUAAUGCUGGCUAGUUUACUAACCAAUAUUUAAUACUAAAACAUGACAUUUUGUAUCUUAGCUUUCAUGCCCAACUCCCACUCCCUACCACCUGACAGGGCAACAGAAUGGUUACAAUUCUCUAGCUGAAAACACAGGCGUUAUAACACUGACAUUCAUUGUCAAAGCCAACGUAACCAAGCGUGGCUCUCUGCCAUUCUAAACUAGAAUCCAUACUGUACUUAUCUGGUAUAAAAUAUUUUUCUCCUAGAGGAUCUAUAUAGAAAGUCCUUCGAUUAGUUAAAUUUAUAAAGUCAUUUCAAAGUAAUGCUCAUAUUAAAUAACCUACUGUUACUUUUCUAAAUUAUUGCCUGCCAUCCAUCCAAACAUAUGUCUCUACAGAUAAGUCAGCAAAGUAUACUUUAGUUUGCUGUAUGAGUCUUCUAUUUUAUAUAGCUUCUCUGGUGUUCUACCCUCCUUUCAAAAUUCUGAAUACAAUUCUGACAUACUUCAACAGUUGAAAACAUUUUCUCUAUAAGUUCCUGCAGCUCAAUCAAGCAUUUGCUUCCAUUAAAAAAAAAAUACAACACUCAUUCACCUGAAGAACAGGGUUGAUACUAAAUUGUAGAUUUGUUGCUACCUAUCUACCUAGCAAACUGUGUAACAAAAAAGUCAGUGUGCAGCAUAGCAAUACAUUUAUUUUUGAAUAUUCCUAAUAGUUUUCAUUUACAAGCUUGUUGCAGGAAAUGACUAUAGUUAUUUUACCAUCCCUCACAUCCUAAAGUGGCAUGUUUUUUGAGCCAAAGUUUCACAAAGGAAGAAAGCAGGCCAUCCUAGGAAAGGAGAGAAGUAACACCUGCUGAACAGGUCAUUAACGCCACAUUUUUGCACAAUGUGGGGAUGGUACUGGAUUUUUACUGAAAUUGCUGAGACUGGGCUGGUUAUCACCAAUCCCUCCUAUCUUGAUUAACUGCUGUGUCUCUUCAUCACUUCUAGGGAUUCACACUGUAGAGACAGCAUUAGGAUCGACAGCUGUAAGACUCGUAAUUAAUGUAAGACUUUAUGUAAAUUCCAGUACCAUACAUACUCUUCAUAAAGAAUUUUCCAAAAUACUGGGCUGAGAACGUGAGGUUCUGAAAAACCUUAGCAAUAGUUGGGAGACAAUAACAAAACAGUUGACAACACACCUACACGGCUAUUGGUUCUUCUAAGUGUGACCAGAUGCUGAUAAGCUGCAUUAAUAUUCAAACAAAAUGGGCAGAAAAGCAGGCUACUGAACAUGCAAAUCAGAAAAGGGCUUUAACUGGUGGUUUUAUGUGCAGCUCUGCCCUAGACUAUUUAUGUGACUCUGAAGUCCCCUAAUUCUCGAAUGUUUCUAUUCCAUUACAUGGGAAACAGGAUCCAUACAACAACAAAUAUCUGAGUACCUUUGUGCCAAACACAAUUCUAAAUGGUUGAUUAAACAUAUUAUAAUAAAUUAUAUGGUAUGUUAGCAGGUGAUAAAUACUAUAAAAAAAACAGAGAAGAGUAAGGAUGAUUAAGAGUAUAUGUGGGUAUAUAAUAGAAGUGUAGGUUGCAGUAUUCAAAAGGGUAAUUAAGGUAGGCCUCAUAGGUUUAAAAAAAAAAAGACGUACUUAACCAAAGAGGUGAGCAUAUCUACCUAUGUCACCUAACAAGGAUUCUCUCUGGAUAAUGUCCACCAAGUCCUCAAAAAGGAAAAACUGUCACUUUGCUGAGUACCAACUAUAUGCUGAUCCCUGUGCUAGGUACUUCCUUAAUUAAUUAAUUAAUUAAUUAAUUAAAUUUACUCGCUCUGUCGCCCAGGCUGGAGUACAGCGAUGUGACCUCGGCUCACCCCAGCCUCCGCCUCUUGGGUAGCUGUGAUUACAGGCAUGCACUACCGCGCCCAACUAAUUUUUUUUUUUGUAUUUUUUGUAGAGUCGAGGUUUUGUUAUGUUGGCCAGGCUGGUCUCAAACUCCUGGCCUCAAGUGAUCCACCCUCCUCAGCCUCCCAAAGUGCUGGGAUUAUACGCCAGGCUCUAGAUACUUUAUAUAUACCUCAUUUUCUAUAUAAAUUUACGGUAGAAUAUAAAAAUCCCAUUGGUAUUCUCAUUUUCUAAGUAAAAGGUAAAUAUAAAUUUUAUACAAAUUAAUUCAAGGAAAGGCUUCUGAAAAACAAAUAUGAAUAUAUAUGUAUAUACUAUAUGUUUUUAAUUCACAGAACUCUUUUAAAGUUAAAGUAACAAUCAUCUGUUGCAAGAUACAUCAAUUUGAAUUCAUCUAAGGAAAGUCCAUAUAAUAUUAUUUGUAGGCUAAUAAAGACAACUUGAAACUAAUUUGACAAUCUAGCAGCUUAAGUGAAAACACCACUAAUGUUCCCCAAAACAGACAUGAUGCAACCUAAACAUGUCAACAUAACCUCACCAACAAAUCUUACUCAUUUGAUGGGGAGAAUAAUUCUCACUUUUGUUCUCUUUAGAAGAACAAAAAUUAGCUCCUAUAGUUUAGGAAUAUGAAAUAGUCCACCAAUGAAUGGCACUAAAGCUAAUUAAACCUUCAGGUGUUUCUUUGAAAAUGUCCUUGAACGUCUAUGAAACAAGUGAGAUUAAAAAUGACCUUAAAAAUUUAUUUUGGAACUUAAAUUUCUGUUCCUGCUUUGGUGAUUAGGUUUAAAGCAAAGUCCUUACAACUACCCACACUCUCUUCAGAAACGUAAAAGAUUUCCCAAACUACAAUACGUUAAAUGUUUACCUGCAAAUCUCUAACAAAAAUGACCAACAGUGGUCAGUCAAGUUCAGAACUGAACAAUACCUGAGAGCAAGAGACUGAAGACACCAAGGCCAAGUGCUUUUUAAAAACACAGCCUAGGGCCCAGUACGGUGUGUCACACCUGUAAUCCCAGCACUUUGGGAGGCCAAGGCAGGCAGAUCACCUGAGGUCAGGAGUUCAAGACCAGUCUGGCCAACAUGGCGAAACCCUGUCUCUACUAAAAAUACAAAAAUUAGCUGGGUGGUGUUCCCCUGUAAUUCCAGCUAUUCGGGAGGCUAAGGCAGGAGAAUCGCUUGAAGCUGGAAGGUGGAGGGUACAGUGAGCCGAGAUGGUGCUACUGCACUCCAGCCUAGGCAACAGAAAGAGACUCCAUCUCAAAAACAAACAACAACAAUAACAACAACAAACAGCCUGGCCAUGACUGAGCUUCACCUGACUCCUGGCAGAGGGCAGUGGCUGCCAUGCCUUUGUUGUUAUAUGGGGGAAAGAAAGUCAUGAACCACGUGGCCUUUAACACUAUAGGUAACACUCCCAUAAUGUUCACCAUAUUGCUCUUCUAAAACUUCUUCCCCCACCACAUUGCUUUUAACUGAAUUCUUAAAUGUUAACCCAUUCUGUAACUACUCUGACACAAUUAAUGCAUAAAAAGAAUUUCCAUCUGAGUGGCAAUAAUGGGAGAAGUAUCACACAUAGUAAGAAUCCAAGAAUUAUCAGUGCCAUGCUAUCAGUAUGUAGGCUUCAGACAAGGGCAGCUAUAUGGGCAACUGCCUCUAGGCAGGCAAUGGGCUAAGAAUGCCUGGGGCAGUAUUUUGAUGGCUGACAGAGCAAUAACGGAAUCCCCAUGACUCGUGCUACCCUAGGAAGUAAAGUCACUUAAUUAUAAAUGCAGAAAUUAAACUUCACAGGGUGAGAAUAAACAAUUUUAUGUAUAAUGUUAAUUUCUGGAACUAAUGUGUCAGUUCAUGAGAUUUUUCUGAAAAAUGUGAUACAACAGUAAAACAGAAACUAGAAGUAGGGUUAUCAUUUGAACAGAGAGAUUAACAAACCUUUAGAAAACUAAGUUCACUUGUGGAAACUUUCAUCUGUUCUCAUCUUAGGGCCCGUAACUUGCGAUUGCUGCCAGAAGCCCACAGACUGAGGGGCAUAUUUCCUGGUAAUGACUCAAGUAACUAUGGAUGAGUCUAUACAUUCAGUAGCUAUGCUCUUUAGGGUGACUUUUUAAAGGAUCCUUGGAGGAACCAAAUGGUUUAUUUGAAAUAAUCCCACAUCUAUCUAGUCUGAGAAUGUGUCAUUCCUAAAACCUGUGAUGCCUUCUGGUGUGUAAAAUGUUAAAUGAAUUCAGGAAGAUUCUGGCAUAGAUGCUUUUGAUAGGAUGAUGAAUUCUGGCCUCUCAAUACUUAUUUUUCUGGUGAAGGAUGAAUAAAAAAACAAAACUAGAAAAGCUCAAUUCCUCAUAUCAGGUUGAACCACAUGAAAAGGCCAAAUAUCCAAAUAUUUUUGACCUGUAAAAAUGACAAUUUUAUGUGAGUCAAUCUAGUAUAUAAAAACAUUUAAAAACUCCUUUAAAGUAUAGUCAUGCCUUGCGUUAUCGAUGGGGAUACAUUCUGAGAAAUAUAGCCUUAGGCAAUUUCAUUGUUGUGUGAACAUCAGAGUGUACUUACACAAAUCUAGAUGGCAUACCUGCAAUACACCUAAGCUAUAUGGUAUAGCCUACUGCUCCUAGGCUACAAACCUGUACCACGUUACUGUACUGAAUACCUUAGGCAACCGUAACACAAUGGUCUUUGUGUAUCUAAACACCUAAGCAGGUAUGUUUAAAGUAAUAUGUUGUGCUAUGAUGGCUAUGUCACUAGGCAACAGGAAUUUUUCAGUUACAUUAUAAUCUUACGUGACCACUGUCAUAAAUGUGAUCCAUCGUUGACCAAAAUGUCACUAUUCAGUGCAUGACUGCAUUGUGAAAUCUGCGCUCUGCUUCUAAUUAAGGGUUGGGUUUCACUUUUAGGUCAAUAUAUGAGAGUAAGAGGUAUUACAAAUUUGGUUGCUGUUGAGAUGUCUUUAUCUGCCAGUCUGUUCUCUGCAGGUGAUGUUUUCUUUCUGAUAAGAUGUUUUGUCUUUAUUAUUUGUGGCUUUACUAUAAAGUGUGUAGGUAUGAGUUUUAAAAUUUAUCCUGUUUUAGAAUCGCUUGAACCCAGGAGGCAGAGGCUGCAGUGAGCCGAGAUCACACCAUUGCAACUUCAGCCUGGGUAACAGGGCAAGACUCCGUCAAAAAAAAAAAAAAAAAAAAAUCCUGUUUUGCAUAUGUGGAACUUCUUUAACUUAGAUUCAUGUUUUUUUUUUUUGUUUUUUUUUUUCAGUUCUAGAAAAGCCUCUCCUCUAGUGUCUUUCUAGUUAUUUCGUGGUAUCUUACCCUCCAUGUCUCUUAACCACUUGCAGUUUUCAUGUCCUUUGUCGCCCCGUGCUGUAAUCUGAACAGUAUCUUCAGAUCUUCUAGUUCUCUUCUACACUAUCUAAUAUGCUAAUCUAUUCACUGAGUUUUAAAUUUCACCUGUUAUAUUUUAAACUUAUAUUUGAUUAUUUUUCAAGUAUGCCUUGUUGUUUUUGACGGUCACUUUUUGGUUGCUUAUUUUUCCUUUUAAAUAUUAUUUUGUUAAGCAUUAACUUAUUUUAUAAUUCUGUAUCUGAUGAUUUUCCAGUAUCUGAAGUCAGUAUCCGAAGUGUGAGCGUGGGAGGAUGGGGUAACCUAAACCUGCUACUUACAGUUUGUGCUGAAUCUCUUCUAUGGUGGCUUUUUCCAUGCAGAUGCAUGUGUGUGUGGUAGUUUUUGUUUAUAAGCUCAUCAUAUGUUGACAUAAAUCUAUGGAAAUCCCGAGUACCUCCAUUUUCCUGUUUCUGCUAGUGGCUAUGGGGAGCUAACAACUCCAAGGUGCUUUCUAGGAUCCUGAAGUCUCAGCUUUGGCUUCCUCAUCUGGCAGUGGGCAUAAGGGUUUCAUGUUGGCAUUUGACCCUACAGCAAUUUUGACUUCACUACUCCCAACACUCCAGUCUGAAUAGGUUCAUUUAAGUUAAUUAAUGGGUGUGAGGGUAUUGAGAUUUCCCUUAUUUCUUGCAAGCUUGUCAAUGCAUUAAAAAAGGAGGCUUAUUCAAAUUUAAAGAGGAUCUACUUAUAUUACAGUGAUAAGGCACUUCAGAAUAAUUGGUUUGCCAUACAAAAGGAAAUGGAAUUCUUACACAUUUUUGCUCCCAAGGAAUUUUCCUUACUUUGAGUAAGGCCGACUAUGUAUUUAAAAGGAUUUGUUUCAAUAUUUUAUUUACUAAGCAUUUUGGGGUGUUGUACAGUAGGAGGAUUUUCAGAUAACGUACCAUGCCACAUGCUAAAAAUUUCAUAAGGCCUAUUUUGUCUCAAACAUGUUGUUAAACUGUAUCUUUCCUGUUUUACACCUAUGUAGUUUUUCCAUACCUACCUGCAGGAUCUUGCAUUUGUCUGUAUAAAAUUUUAUCUUGUCAGAUUUGGAGAACUGUUCCAGUAUAAUUUAGACAUCUUUCUAGCUCUUAUCAAAUAAUCUACCCCCUCUGUCUAUGACCAGCAUGUUAGACUUCUAUUCCAGCAGUUUUUUAUAUGAGUUUCCUUUGCGAUUACAGAUUAAAGGAUAAUUCCUUUGAGAUUAAAGGAAAGAAUAUUCCUUGGGGGGCAGCCCCCGCCCGGCCGCCACCCCGUCUGGGAGGUGGGGGGCGCCUCUGCCCAGCUGCCCCGUCUGGGAAGUGAAGAGCCCCUCUGCCCGGCCGCCACCCCGUCUGGGAGGUGUACCCAACAGCUCAUUGAGAACGGGCCAUGAUGACGAUGGCAGUUUUGUCGAAUAGAAAAGGGGGAAAUGUGGGGAAAAUAAAGAGAGAUCAGAUUGUUACUGUGUCUGUGUAGAAAGAAGUAGACAUAGGAGACUCCAUUUUGUUCUGUACUAAGAAAAAUUAUACUGCCUUGGGAUGCUGUUAAUCUAUAACCUUACCCCCAUCCCCGUGCUCUCUGAAACAUGUGCUGUGUCCACUAAGGGUUAAAUGGAUUAAGGGCGGUGCAAGAUGUGCUUUGUUAAACAGAUGCUUGAAGGCAGCAUACUUGUUAAGAGUCAUCACCACUCCCUAAUCUCAAGUACCCGGAGACACAAACAAUGCGGAAGGCGGAAGGCGGCAGGGCCUAGGAAAACCGGAGACCUUUGUUCACAUGUUUAUCUGCUGACCUUCCUUCCAUUAUUGUCCUAUAACCCUGCCAAAUCCCCCUCUCCGAGAAACAUCCAAGAAUGAUCAAUAAAUACUAAAAAAAUUAAAA